ensembl:snoRNA
AUUCUUUACCAGUUCAUAAGUAUCAUGAUUGAGUGUUCCCACAUUCCUGUGACGUGUGUCUCCCUUAAAUCUUGUUACACACUUGCACAUUACUCAUCUGAUG